rnacentral:lncRNA from 1 species
GCAUUUAAUGAAGGAAACUACCAAUUGUGGGAUGAUAAGUUGAAGAAGUACAUUGAUGACCUUAAAGACCCAGGCCCAAGUGGCAAGCCCUACUCUGCUAGAUACAUUGGUAGUUUGGUUGGGGACUUUCAUCGAACACUUCUAUAUGGUGGCAUUUAUGGGUAUCCCAGAGACAAGAAGAGCAAGAAUGGAAAGCUAAGGCUCUUGUACGAGUGUGCACCUAUGAGCUUUAUAGUGGAACAAGCUGGUGGAAAAGGAUCAGACGGCCAUCAGAGAAUACUUGAUAUCCAACCAGUUGAGGUGAGAACACUUACAUGGUAAUUUUCACCCAUCGUUCUUGAAUUGUAGGAGGUAUUUUCAUUACCAUCUCUGAAUUUUCGAGAGAUCAUUGAGUAAUUUUCAGGAACAGUGAUGAAAUACCUUCAAAGUUGAGCAACGGUGGGCAAAAAUUACCCCAAAAUUACAUGUAUCUUUGAAUUCGUAAACUUUUAAUUCUUCAUUUUUAAAGUUAAUAACUGGGAUUUUCUUUUUAACAGAUACAUCAGCGCGUUCCACUUUACAUUGGGAGCCAGGAGGAAGUGGAGAAAUUGGAGAAGUAUUUGGCUUAAUUGAACUGUAAAAGCAAAGACG